GCUGCCUUCAUGUGUGAUAUUAUCUGAUUUUACCACAGACUGCCUUCAGACUAGAACUGCAACAUGGGCUCUUUCUGGGUCUUCAGUCUGCCAGCCCACCCUGCAAAUUUGAUUUGCUAGUUUUCAUACUCAGAAAGGCUAAAACUGAAAAGACUGCCUAUACCACAUGUUGGUGAGAAUGUACAGAACCUGGAUGGAUCUCUCACAUGUUGCUGGUGGGGAUGUACAACCGCACAACUGCUUUGAAAAACAUGGUACAAAUAAAGUGAUCAAACCCUUGUGCCUUUGGAAAAUUCAGUUCUUUUGGGAACUGAAAUCUCAUCAAAUCUUCAUUUAGAAGUGAGAAGUGGAGAGGAGAAGGAGAAAAGGCAUGCUACGUGCGUCCACCUCUCACUCAAAACUCUCUCAAGCAAGGAUUGCUCAUUAAAGAUAGCACAAGCAUCGAUACAUAAGAAGAAAAAAGAAUUCCUAAAAACCUGCUUUGAAAUUGUUAAAUAAUACUAGGACAGA
rnacentral:lncRNA from 1 species